UAGGAGCCCUGUUAACCAGUGUGUAAGGCAUAGUCAUGUAAUAAAACAUGCCAGACACUAAAAGGCAAAAACCCAGUUCACAGAUGUUGUAACGUUAUGAGAUAAUUUUAGGGAGUGAAUGGGGUGAAAAGGCUGGAUUUGUUAGAGAGGGGAAUACCUAUGGAGGCCUUUUCUGUGAGCAAUACCAUGACUUCAUUACCAUGUCAAUUCUGGGAAAGGGCUCUGAUUUAACACAGCAGUUGGCUGGAUCCAUAUGGAGCUGAUGAACCUCUGAAUGAAUAGUGAAUGGAAAAACUGCUGGAAUCUGCCUUCAGCUUUGUUCCCAGAAUGACCAAUGUAAAAGGCCUAAGAGCUAUACGGCACAGAUGGUGUAAGGAGGAUGAAUGGAAGAAGAGAUGGAAACAUUUAUGUGAGCCUGAGGUUUUUUUGUUUUGUUUGUUUUUUUUUUAAUUUCAAGCUGCCACAGUCAGGUAGCACCCCGCAAGCUGCUGUGACUCCAACACCGAAGAUGGCCUCAUAAACCCUGCGGACAUUCAGCUAGUAGAAAACAGAUUGGGUUGAUAAAAAUAAGUGUGCAUGUUCUUGGAGAACCUGAGAAAAUCACACCUUCACUUUGUUAAAAAAAUCUGAUUGUGCCACUCCAGUAAUCACUUCAUAACUGGUGGGAGAGCAGAACAUAUGUCUCAGAAGUGGCAGAAUAUAAAAGCCGCUACCUCUAAUCCCUCUUUCUUUAGGAGAAAAAAAUACCUUUCCAGUAUGUCAUCUGUAAAAUCAAUGCCAAGGAUUUUCUGGUUAAAAAUUACAAGUGAAAUGUAAAAUGCUCGUGAAAGCAAAAUGAAACAGUUUUUUUUUUUCUUUAACAAGCUAUAUAACAAAGCAGGAACAAAGUUUAUAAAGAGGAGUCCAAUUCUACACUCCUUACUCAGGCACAACUCCCUGUUGCAAUCUUCUGCAAAAUGGUGAGUCACUGCAGGAGUCAAUAGGAUUCAUGGCUACUCUGACUCUGAACCAAAACUGACUCUGACUCCGAACCAAUAUCAAGGCCACCCCAACCUCAAUCAUUGAGCUCCAGUGUGCUGAUAAUGCUGUAGUGUGUGCUCUUUAGAAGGAGAUUUCCAGGCAAUUGUCCAUGUCUUUACUGAGGCAGACAGCAAAAUGGGACUGACACUUAACUUUCAGAAAACUAAGGUCCUCCAUCAACAAACUCUUAAUGAGCAGUCCCCAGCUCCAGUAAUUUAGAUUUACAGUGAGAUCCUGGAGAAUACUGAGUAUUUCUCAUACCUUGGAAGCCAUCUCGCGCAGAAGGCUAAUAUCAGUGAAGAAAUCCAACAUCGCCUUAGAUGUGCAAGCACAGCCUUUGGAUGCCUGAGGAAACAGGGCUUUGAAGAUUGACA
rnacentral:lncRNA from 1 species